AGUGAACGCUGGCGGUAGACCUAACACAUGCAAGUCGAACGGCAGCACAGUAAGAGCUUGCUCUUACGGGUGGCGAGUGGCGGACGGGUGAGGAAUACAUCGGAAUCUACUUUUUCGUGGGGGAUAACGUAGGGAAACUUACGCUAAUACCGCAUACGACCUACGGGUGAAAGCAGGGGAUCUUCGGACCUUGCGCGAUUGAAUGAGCCGAUGUCGGAUUAGCUAGUUGGCGGGGUAAAGGCCCACCAAGGCGACGAUCCGUAGCUGGUCUGAGAGGAUGAUCAGCCACACUGGAACUGAGACACGGGCCAGACUCCUACGGGAGGCAGCAGUGGGGAAUAUUGGACAAUGGGCGCAAGCCUGAUCCAGCCAUACCGCGUGGGUGAAGAAGGCCUUCGGGUUGUAAAGCCCUUUUGUUGGGAAAGAAAAGCAGCAGGUUAAUACCCCGCUGUUCUGACGGUACCCAAAGAAUAAGCACCGGCUAACUUCGUG
rnacentral:rRNA from 1 species